rnacentral:rRNA from 1 species
UAAUGGCUCACCAAGGCGACGACGGGUAGCCGGCCUGAGAGGGUGACCGGCCACACUGGGACUGAGACACGGCCCAGACUCCUACGGGAGGCAGCAGUGGGGAAUAUUGCACAAUGGGCGCAAGCCUGAUGCAGCGACGCCGCGUGAGGGACGAAGGCCUUCGGGUUGUAAACCUCUUUCAGUAGGGAAGAAGCGAAAGUGACGGUACCUGCAGAAGAAGCGCCGGCUAACUACGUGCCAGCAGCCGCGGUAAUACGUAGGGCGCAAGCGUUAUCCGGAAUUAUUGGGCGUAAAGAGCUCGUAGGCGGUUUGUCGCGUCUGCUGUGAAAGCCCGGGGCUCAACCCCGGGUCUGCAGUGGGUACGGGCAGACUAGAGUGCAGUAGGGGAGACUGGAAUUCCUGGUGUAGCGGUGAAAUGCGCAGAUAUCAGGAGGAACACCGAUGGCGAAGGCAGGUCUCUGGGCUGUAACUGACGCUGAGGAGCGAAAGCAUGGGGAGCGAACAGGAUUAGAUACCCUGGUAGUCCAUGCCGUAAACGUUGGGCACUAGAUGUGGGGGACAUUCCACGUUUUCCGCGUCGUAGCUAACGCAUUAAGUG